UGUCUACACACGUUCGAUAAUUGUUGCUGCUAUUUUUGCUAAAAAUGUCCGAUUUAGAAUCAAAUAUGGACGCUUUAAGUGAAGAUUAAAGUAAACGAUUUAAUUCGUUGCUUGUUGGGUCUCGUGAAUAUCGCUGCUGUAAAGAAAUUAUCGAAGCGACAGGAAAAUUUACAUUUGAAGGGUUAGACGCCAUGUGUAUAACCAGCCAUGCAGAUUUCGAUCCCUUGACUAAUAAAACAGUCCUGUUACAAGUUGGUCCUUUGCUCAAAACUAAAAGUGAUAGGCGCUACAACAAGUAUGGCCACACAGAAAACGAGUAAGUAUUUACUGUAGUAUUAAAAGACACGAGGAAAUAUAUCUUGACCACAGUGAACAAAUUCUCAUGAGCAUUUUAUAAUUACAGUGACAGUAUGCCUCUUGUAAAAUGUAAGGCUUGUUUAUGUUUGAUGCUUAUAUAAACUCAAGCUAAAUAGAGGUAUAAAACAAUAUUAUAGUUUACCAAAAAUCAAAAAUGCCACAGGUUUUGAUUUAUACAAAGAGACUAUCAUAACUUUAUUUGAUUUAUAAACAAAGAGUCAAGUUAAUAUCUGGCAAUUUAAAAAUUAGUUGGUUGUUACAAUCCCCCAUACAUACUGCAGGUAUUGUCACAGUGACAAUAUAAUAUUGCUUCAUCUGAGUGUAAGUAUUUGUGACUGGACGGUUUUAUGGUGCCAUUGACAACUUUUUUCUUUUUUUAAGAUUUUUACGUGCAGUUGCAUAUCGAUGACUUGCAAGAUGGCUAUUCGGUGAGAUGGGCUGGGAAAAUACCCGACCACUGGCUGCCUGUGUUUAUCACAACAUUAGAAAGAGAUUUUCUUCAAGCAAUUCAAAAGGAUAUGUAUCUGGGCAGGACAGAGCAACUGUAGAGUGACAUUUUAACAGUACAUAUAACAAGCUUUUGUCAAUUCUUUCAAAUAACAGUGCUGUGUAUGUCAUUAAGCUUGGAUGAACUUGACGCUCGAAUGACACUGGUAUGAAGUUAUUUUGAGUAAUUUCUCAUCGCGUCUCAUGUAAACAUGUAUUAUUUCUGUGUAAGAACCUGUUUACUCAGAACCAGACAUAUUUUUGUCCAAAUAAAAAUGUGUACUGAUUACUGUACACAGUACCAGACAAGUAUUUUCACAAUUUCAAACUAGGUAUGCAAACCUUGCCUGGAUGGGUGAACAAAAAUAUGCUUGGAUAGGCAGGGCCAGUGUGAACACAAAGUGUAUCAGUACAAAUAUUUACCAGACAAAAAUUUGUCUGGUACCGUAUAAACGAGCAGUCACUAGCAGAACAUUUGAAAUAUUGUUUAUCAUAUCAUGUAGUUUAACAAAAUCAAUGUGGCUGUUUGAACUGUCUCUCAUUUGCAUUCAAUGGUUAGUGCUAUCUUAAUAUGCUUCCAACAACCUGACCAGUGACCAGGAGUGUUACAUUACUCUGGAGUAGGACAGUGUGACCUGGGAUGUCCUUUCAUUGCUUGUUUACAUUUUUUGCAGCAACGUGUUUUUUUGGUUGGAGGCUCUUGUUCUUUCUCUUUUUCCUUUUCUUUUUCUUGAUCAUCAC
rnacentral:lncRNA from 1 species